AGAGUUUGAUCCUGGCUCAGGAUGAACGCUAGCGAUAGGCUUAACACAUGCAAGUCGAGGGGCAGCAUGGUCUUAGCUUGCUAAGACUGAUGGCGACCGGCGCACGGGUGCGUAACGCGUAUGCAACUUGCCUCACAGAGGGGGAUAACCCGUCGAAAGACGGACUAAUACCGCGUACACUUAUUAGAGGGCAUCCUUUAGUAAGGAAAUGAAAUUCGCUGUGAGAUAGGCAUGCGUCCCAUUAGCUAGUUGGUGAGGUAACGGCUCACCAAGGCAACGAUGGGUAGGGGAACUGAGAGGUUGAACCCCCACACUGGUACUGAGACACGGACCAGACUCCUACGGGAGGCAGCAGUGAGCUAACUCCGUGCCAGCAGCCGCGGUAAUACGGAGGAUGCGAGCGUUAUCCGGAUUUAUUGGGUUUAAAGGGUGCGUAGGCGGCCUGUUAAGUCAGCGGUGAAAUCUAGGGGCUUAACUCCUAAAUUGCCAUUGAUACUGGUGGGCUUGAGUGUAGAUGAGGUAGGCGGAAUGCGUGGUGUAGCGGUGGAAUGCAUAGAUAUCACGCAGAACUCCAAUUGCGAAGGCAGCUUACUAAGGUACAACUGACGCUGAAGCACGAAAGCGUGGGUAUCAAACAGGAUUAGAUACCCUGGUAGUCCACGCAGUAAACGAUGAUAACUGGGCGUAUGCGAUAUACAGUAUGCUCCUAAGCGAAAGCGUUAAGUUAUCCACCUGGGGAGUACGCCGGCAACGGUGAAACUCAAAGGAAUUGACGGGGGCCCGCACAAGCGGAGGAACAUGUGGUUUAAUUCGAUGAUACGCGAGGAACCUUACCCGGGAUUGAAAUGUAGAUGACGGCCGGUGAAAGUCGGCUUCCCUUCGGGGCAUCUAUGUAGGUGCUGCAUGGUUGUCGUCAGCUCGUGCCGUGAGGUGUCGGCUUAAGUGCCAUAACGAGCGCAACCCCUGUCUACGGUUGCCAUCAGGUAAUGCUGGGAACUCCGUAGAGACUGCCGUCGUAAGGCGUGAGGAAGGUGGGGAUGACGUCAAAUCAGCACGGCCCUUACAUCCGGGGCGACACACGUGUUACAAUGGUGGGGACAAAGGGCAGCUACCUGGCGACAGGAUGCGAAUCUCCAAACCCCAUCACAGUUCGGAUCGGAGUCUGCAACUCGACUCCGUGAAGCUGGAUUCGCUAGUAAUCGCGCAUCAGCCAUGGCGCGGUGAAUACGUUCCCGGGCCUUGUA
rnacentral:rRNA from 1 species